rnacentral:rRNA from 1 species
AGGGAGAUGGAGAUCCUUCGGCAGCGCUUCCAAUCCGAGCUCGUCGCCGUCCGUCGCCUCCUCCAUAAGGCGGCCGCCGUGCUAGUUCCCGCCUCGUCCCCGUUGACUCCCCGCGUCAAGGAGAGUCGUCGAGGUUUCUUGGCCGAGGAGCCGCCGGCCAAGAAGAGGAAGGCGUCCCCUCCCGUUCCUCUGAUCAAGAGCAAGAAGGCGCCCAGGAAGAAGAUGAUGACGGGCUCUGAGAGGGAGAUGCUCGCGGAAGACCUGGAGCUGUUCGUUGCGGAGAUCCCCGAUCACGUCGUCGAGCUCUUGAAGAAGCACAGCUGCGCCACCCGCCCCGGCGAAAUCGAGAUCGACGUCCACGCGUUGGAUGACGCCGCCGCCGUCGAGUUACAGGAGCAGGUUGACAAGUUCGCUCGAGAGAGGAGGUCGAAUCCGCCGCCGCAAGAACGGCACCAAGACGGCCCUAAGGUGAUGGCCCAAGAGGAGGAGGACGACGAAGAAGUUGACAUCUGUGGCGGCGUCUCCCCCUUAGCGAUCGUGCCGGCACCUCUGGCCCAAGAACGGCACCAAGACGGCCCUAAGGCCAUGGCCGAAGAGGAGGAGGAGGAAGAUGUUGACAUCUGUGGUGGCGUCUCC